CCACCGGAAAUCAGACUCGUAACCAGAGCAUGUGCCCUGACCCGGAUUGAACACGAUUUUUCGGUCUAUGGGACAAUGCUGCAACCAACUGAGCCACCCAGCCAGGGCAUUGAGGAUUUACUGUUAGUGCUGCUUCCCUGCUGUUCAUUAGAAAAGAAAAGGAAAAAAGAGACUGGUUUUACUAGAACUCUGGAACCCAGAGCUCCCCCAGGCCAAGCUGGAAUGGGGCAAGCAUCAGUGAACAGAAGGACUAUGAUGUUUGGAGCAGAGACUAAAUGUUUGCUUCAUGAGGAGGAUGAAAAACUCUCAUUGAUGACUUUCUGCAAGAUGGAGAUCCCUAUAAUGAGUAUGAGGAAGUCCUGGGGGCCUGAGAAAUGGUGUGGUAGCUGUAGUGAAUGAUGCAGCACCGUGCCACUGAAAUUUGCUGAGAGAUCUUCACUGUUCUCACCUAAGAGAAAGG